UGAAAAACUUGGCCAAUGAUACUUCAAGCAAGGCAAGAAAGCAAUGGGAAAAAUCCUUAGAAAAUUAACACUCAGUUUUUAAAUAAAAGAACACACAGCGAGAUAGAUUAUUUUUCUAUUUAUCUGCACUGUGGUGUCAAAAACAACAGGAAAAGUCACUCCCUUGUGUCUUCAAAGCAGCACUGCUUGGCCGGCCCUGAUCCUGUGCGCGUUCCUAGAUGCUGCUUUUUGCACGUGAGAAACCCAUGUGGCCUGAUUACACACUGACAAGUAAAGUUGCUCUUAUAAUAGAGACAUAAUUAAAUAGUUGUUGAGGUGCAACCUCUGAUCCUUAAAAAUAGCCAGUAACGUUAAACUCUACUUUCAUGCAGCCAGGUAUUAAAAGAAGCGCUCAGAUUUGUUCACAGUGCUCUUGUCUGAGCAACAUUGGAGCUGUUGCUGUAGAUGACAUUUCACACAGGACUCCAAUUAGCUGAGUCCCACCCGCCUGAAGUGCAGAAUCAGACUCGGGAAGGCAGAAUGUGGCAUCAGAUCCCCCUCGCUGUGCUUGCGCUCCAGCUGCGAACGGGGGCUCUGGCAGGAGAAGACAGAGGGGGAGGAUUUUGACUUAAACCAGUGGGUAGUCUUUGGAACUGAAGACCAUUCCUCAGAGGGUGUUCAGAGGCCAGAAAGAAGGCAGAG